CUGGCAGUGGCCCUGGUCAGGCCUGCGGGUUUGAGUUGAGCCAUUAGGCCAGAACUUGGCAAGUCUCUGCUGCUCUCCAGGUUUCUCUCUUCUCUCGCGUCUUCCUCCGUCUCUCUCUGUUGGUGUCUGCUGAAUGUCUCUGUUUCUGCUGCUUUCUCUCUCUCUCUUUCCCCCUGUGCUUCUCUCUCUCUCUGUCUCUAUGUCUCUCUCUUUCUCACUGUAUCUCUGGUGGGACAGAGAUGAGAAAAGCAGCCUCUAGAUCUGGCUGAGGGUAUUUCGGGGCCAGUGAUGGCUGAAAGGAAGGAGGUGCUUAUUGUCUCUCAACUGGAACGUCAGCUUCCCGAGGGCAGCAAUGUUGUUUGCUGCUGUGUCCUUGGGGCCUAGAACCUCAGCGGCACACACCAAGUGUUCCUUAAAUAUUGCUCAAGUGAAUGAAUGAAUGAAUGGAGAGAGUGAGAAACUCCACCAGGAGUCAGGAGCUAGAAGGAGCAUGGAGAGAUGGUGAACUGUGGAGGAGAAGGGAGGUCUGAGUGGACCUCUGAGAGGGGCCAGGUCUUGGCACGGCCUGGGGCACAGAGCCUUGCUCAUCUGCCUUCCCCAAACCUGCCAUCCCCAUCUGCCGCCGGGAUCCUCCUGCAGCCCCAGCGCCACCUGCCAGCCGUGGGAGGAGCCGCCUUGCACGUCCAGCCCAGCGGAGCCUUUCAGAUGACUCCAGCCCCAGCCAACAUCUGAUGGCAAUCACACGAGACCCCAAGUGAGAACCGCCCAGCCAGGCCCUUCCCGAAUUCCUGACCCACAAACCUUUGAGCCAAAUAAAAUGGCUGUUGUUUCACAUUGCUGAGUUUUGGAUAAUUUGUUAUGCAGCAACAGUAAUUGGAACAUUGGCCCCAAACCUUUCCUGAUCCUUGUUGGUCCCCUUCCCACCCUGUCUGCCACACUGAAC
rnacentral:lncRNA from 1 species